GUAGAUGACGGCUGACAAUUUCCAUGUAAAGAUUAGCUCAAAAGGGAUCUUGUCAAGUGCUCACGAGCCAAAGCCAAUGCCUGAGAUAUGGUCUGUGGAUUACAGAACUUCUUGUUAGUGUCUUCUCACACGAGGUGAGAAGAAAAUUUUUGAAUGAGAAAAGUCGCAAGAAUAAAAAAAAUCACCUGUUCAGACAAGGGUGCAGCAGGAUCAACGCUGCUGGUGGCAACUUUUGAGGCAAUGACAUUACCAUCGGUCUCAAGAAUCAUCCUGCAAGUGGGAAUGAGAGAUUUAGCUCAAGCAUACCACAACGAAAGACAUAGGAAAAGCAUUAAGCUAUUCAGCUGGUUCCUGAUGCUCUCAUGAAGUCCAUUCAUGACAUAAACUUAACACAAUUGAUGACCUGAGUCAUUGGUGGACUUGCAAAGCAUAGAAAGCACAGAGCAUAAAGCAUUACAAUUGACGAGCAA